rnacentral:rRNA from 1 species
AUCCAUGGAGAGUUUGAUCCUGGCUCAGGACGAACGCUGGCGGCAUGCUUAACACAUGCAAGUCGAACGAGCAAAAUUUUUUUUGUGUAGUGGCGAACGGGUGCGUAACGCGUAAGAACCUACCUAUCGGAGGGGGAUAACAUUGGGAAACUGUUGCUAAUACCCCAUAAAAGCUGAGGAGUGAAAGGUGAAAAACCGCCGAUAGAGGGGCUUGCGUCUGAUUAGCUAGUUGGUGGGGGUAACGGCCUCCCAAGGCCACGAUCAGUAGCUGGUCUGAGAGGAUGAUCAGCCACACUGGGACUGAGACACGGCCCAGACUCCUACGGGAGGCAGCAGUGAGGAAUUUUUCGCAAUGGGCGAAAGCCUGACGAAGCAAUGCCGCGUGCAGGAAGAAGGCCCGUGGGUCGUAAACUGCUUUUUUCAGAGAAGAAGUUCUGACGGUAUCUGAGGAAUAAGCACCGGCUAACUCUGUGCCAGCAGCCGCGGUCUGGCUUAAUAAAUGCCGCAACAUCAAUUCAUUGAUGUUUAGAAUCCAGCUCAUAACGGGGGAGCCUAAAGCACUACGCAACGUGCGCUAUGGUGAUCACGUGGGAAGUUUCUGCAAAGUCAAUUUUACAGAAACCCCGUAACGACUGACCCGAAAGGGGAGAGUAAGUAAUACAAAUUACUUGCUAAAACGCUGGCUCUCAUUAUGUUUUCAGAAGGCAUGAGAUUAUCAAAUGAUACACUUUUUAAAAAGAAAGUAACAUUCAGCCGAAUGCUCGAAAGUCUCUAUGGUUAUUCGAGAAGCUUUCUUCUAUUGAAGCAUGGGAAACCAAAGCAAUCAAUAGUUCGUAAACAUUUUUUGUUAAAAAACAUGACACAACAGGUAACAAUGGCUUACAUCUUAGGUUUAAUGGAAGCUGAUGGUAGUAUUCUUUUAAUGUUUGGUACUGGUAAAAGCAAACGAACGCUUAAACCUUGGGUUCGAAUCUCCCAAAAAUCAAAUAAAAAUUUACUACCACUAAUUAAAGAUUUUUUCGUUAAACAUAAUAUUGAAUGCAAUUACGAAGUUUGGGAUCCUCAGACUUCAAAAGGGCGUGCACCUAAUCUAACUAUCACGAAAGUUGAUAGCGUUCGACAGUUUAUUAAAUUGGUUAAACAAGAACCAAUUCAAUUUUUAAGCCAAAAGCAACGUGACUUUUGGAUCCUUGAUCGUGUUUUAAAUUCACCUGAACGUCUUAAAAUCGAAGAUAAAGUAAAUUUAAAGUUAAAUUUGCAUAAAGAUAACAUGAAUCAGCCUGAUGUACUUCAACCUGGUAAAAAAACACGUGAAAAACUUGAGGAACAGUUCUCUAUUCCUUCAGGUGAAUCAAGUAAAGAUGCUUUAGGUAUUUUAACACAAAUCGACCAGCAAUAUGCUGAUCACACGAACAAGAUUCAUCAGUUAAUUGAUGAUGGUAAACUGACGUUACCAGCGGAUUGGUUAGCAGGUUUAAUCGAUGCAGAUGGUGGUUAUUAUGUAACCAUGCAAGUACGAGGACCUAAUCAACACUUUCCUAAGCGUUUUUUAGAAAUUCAAGCAAACUUCACGAUUACAAUGGAAAAAAAUGCAUUAACAACUUUAAAAGCUGUUAAAUUUUUAGUAGAUUCCAAAGCACCAAUUAGAGCAUCGCGUAAUCACUAUCAAUUAUGGAUACGAAAUCAAUCUGAAGUUAAAAGAUUGUUGCAAUUACAACAAUUGUAUUUACCUGUAGGUGACCAUAGAUUAGCACAAUAUAACUUAAUUAAAAAAAUCCAUUUUUAUAAACAAAAUAAUAAGAUGCGAGAUUUAGAUGUUAUAUUAGAUAUCGUUCAUGAAGCUUAUGCUCUUUCGGAUCAAAAUAAAGGUCGUGAAAGAACAAAAUCAUUAGCUGAAAUGGAAGCGAUUGUGCAAGAAAUUUAUGGUUAAAUUGUUUAACUCGUUAUAUUUCUUCUAAGAUUACUAUGUGAGAUGAAGGUAUAGUCUGUACCUAUUGAAAGAUAGGAUUUAUAUGAAUACAGAGGGUGCAAGCGUUGUCCGGAAUGAUUGGGCGUAAAGCGUCUGUAGGUGGCUUGUAAAGUCUAAUGUCAAAUCCCAAGGCUCAACCUUGGACCGGCAUUGGAGAACUCACGAGCUUGAGUACGGUAGAGGUAGAGGGAAUUCCAAGUGGAGCGGUGAAAUGCGUAGAGAUUUGGAGGAACACCAGUGGCGAAGGCGCUCUACUGGGCCGAAACUGACACUGAGAGACGAAAGCUGGGGGAGCGAAUAGGAUUAGAUACCCUAGUAGUCCCAGCCGUAAACUAUGGAGACUAAGUGCUGCCACAAGCAGUGCUGUAGCUAACGCGUUAAGUCUCCCGCCUGGGGAGUAUGCUCGCAAGAGUGAAACUCAAAGGAAUUGACGGGGACCCGCACAAGCGGUGGAUUAUGUGGAUUAAUUCGAUGCAACGCGAAGAACCUUACCAGGGUUUGACAUGUCAAGAACUUUCCAGAAAUGGGAAGGUGCCCUAACGGGAGCUUGAACACAGGUGGUGCAUGGCUGUCGUCAGCUCGUGCCGUGAGGUGUAUAGUUAAGUCUCAUAACGAGCGCAACCCUCGUCUUUAGUUGCCUUUUGGUUCUCUAAAGAGACUGCCAGUGUAAGCUGGAGGAAGGUGAGGAUGACGUCAAGUCAGCAUGCCCCUUACACCCUGGGCUUCACACGUAAUACAAUGGUUGGGACAAUCAGAAGCGAUCUCGUGAGAGCUAGCGGAUCUGUUAAACCCAACCUCAGUUCGGAUUGUAGGCUGCAACUCGCCUACAUGAAGCCGGAAUCGCUAGUAAUCGCCAGUCAGCUAUAUGGCGGUGAAUACGUUCCCGGGUCUUGUACACACCGCCCGUCACACCCAGGAAGCUGGUUCUGCUCCAAGUCGUUACCCUAACCCUUUGGGAGGGGGGCGCCUAAAGCAGGGCUAGUGACCAGGGUGAAGUCGUAACAAGGUAGGGCUACUGGAAGGUGGCCCUGGAUCACCUCCUUC